AGCCUUGAGAUUGUACUCUAGGUGUUUUCUGCUCAAUGAUCAAAUUUAAUAGCCGCAGUACCUUGACUGUGCGAAGGUAGCGUAAUAAGUUGUCUUUUAAUUGGGGUCCUGUAUAAAUGAAAUAACGGGGAAUCACUGUCUCCCUUUCCUUACACAUAAUUUAUUAAUUAGGUGCAAAUACCUAAAUAGCUUUGAAAGACGAGAAGACCCUAAGAGUUUUUAUAAGGGAAUAAUUUUAUUAUGAUUGUUUUUGUUGGGGCGACAUAUUAACAAGGUAUAAUAGUACCAGGGGAACUUAAUAUUUAUUAAUUGACAGAACAAUAAGUAUUAUAUUAGAUUAAACUACCUUAGGGAUAACAGCAUAAUUAUUAUUAUAGAUUGUGACCUCGAUGUUGGACUAGGUACUUUAUACCCCAGAAGGGAAUAAAGUUAGUUCUGUUCGAACUUUUUUACCUACAUG
rnacentral:rRNA from 1 species